AUAAAGGAAGCUCAACAUUUUCCUGGUAUGCAAUAAUAAUUAGGAAAAAGAUUUCCAAACAGAGGCUAAAGAAUGAAAGAAGGUGAAAAAAAACCAGAAUGCUUAGAAUGCAAGAACUUGAAAACUUGUAAGCCAAAAGAACUUCAAAUGGUUAGAACCACCGGCGAACUCGGAGGGAGCCCGACCAGGCAUAUUAUCGUGACUCAUCGAAGGACCGCCGCCAGCGCCGCCCUGAUACACUUUUCAAUGAUGGGAUUAC